UAGGGAAUCUUCGGCAAUGGACGAAAGUCUGACCGAGCAACGCCGCGUGAGUGAAGAAGGUUUUCGGAUCGUAAAACUCUGUUGUUAGAGAAGAACAAGGACGUUAGUAACUGAACGUCCCCUGACGGUAUCUAACCAGAAAGCCGCGGCUAACUACGUGCCAGCAGCCGCGGUAAUACGUAGGUGGCAAGCGUUGUCCGGAUUUAUUGGGCGUAAAGCGAGCGCAGGCGGUUUCUUAAGUCUGAUGUGAAAGCCCCCGGCUCAACCGGGGAGGGUCAUUGGAAACUGGGAGACUUGAGUGCAGAAGAGGAGAGUGGAAUUCCAUGUGUAGCGGUGAAAUGCGUAGAUAUACGGAGGAACACCAGUGGCGAAGGCGGCUCUCUGGUCUGUAACUGACGCUGAGGCUCGAAAGCGCGGGGAGCAAACAGG
rnacentral:rRNA from 1 species